rnacentral:rRNA from 1 species
UGAACGCGGCGGCAUGCCUAACACAUGCAAGUCGAACGGCAGCACAGUAAAGAUUUCGGUCUUUAUGGGUGGCGAGUGGCGGACGGGUGAGUAAAGCGUAGGAAUCUGUCCUGGAGCGUGGGAUAACCCGAGGAAACUCGGGCUAAUACCACAUGAUAUCGAGAGAUCAAAAGCAGGGGACCGAAAGGCCUUGCGCUCUGGGGUGAGCCUACGUCGGAUUAGCUAGUUGGUGGGGUAAAAGCCUACCAAGGCGACGAUCCGUAGCUGGUCUGAGAGGAUGACCAGCCACACUGGGACUGAGACACGGCCCAGACUCCUACGGGAGGCAGCAGUGGGGAAUCUUGGACAAUGGGGGAAACCCCUGAUCCAGCGAUGCCGCGUGUGUGAAGAAGGCCUUCGGGUUGUAAAGCACUUUAGGUGGGGAAGAAAGGUAACGAGCGAAU